UCAAUAUUGCUAUACACAUUUUCUUUGA
rnacentral:piRNA from 1 species